AACUUUCACUUACUUGUUGAUUUCUGUCACGAAUACCUUGCUUUCGUUGUACCAUCACUUAUAACCAUGUUUCAUCCACUUUUCCCUUUGAACCAUUUGCAAUACUAAAGGAUACUCGGGGAUGUCGUACACAUAGUACUGUUACAAUGUCAUAUCCUAGAUAUGGUCUUACAUGUAAUCUCUUAUCAAUGCCAAAAGCCCAGCCAUGGUCUUACACAAAAUCACAUAUCGAUACCAAUGUCCUAGAUAUGGUCUUACACGAAUUCUCAUAUCGAUGCCAUUGUCCUAGAC
rnacentral:lncRNA from 1 species